rnacentral:rRNA from 1 species
GCUCGAGUGGCGAACGGGUGAGUAACACGUGAGUAACCUGCCCUUGACUUUGGGAUAACUUCAGGAAACUGGGGCUAAUACCGGAUAGGAGCUCCUGCUGCAUGGUGGGGGUUGGAAAGUUUCGGCGGUUGGGGAUGGACUCGCGGCUUAUCAGCUUGUUGGUGGGGUAGUGGCUUACCAAAGCUUUGACGGGUAGCCGGCCUGAGAGGGUGACCGGCCACAUUGGGACUGAGAUACGGCCCAG